rnacentral:rRNA from 1 species
UACAGAGGUCUCAAGCGUUGUUCGGAUUCAUUGGGCGUAAAGGGUGCGUAGGCGGCGCGGUAAGUCGGGUGUGAAAUCUCGGAGCUUAACUCCGAAACUGCAUUCGAUACUGCCGUGCUUGAGGACUGGAGAGGAGACUGGAAUUUACGGUGUAGCGGUGAAAUGCAUAGAUAUCGUAAGGAAGACCAGUGGCGAAGGCGGGUCUCUGGACAGUUCCUGACGCUGAGGCACGAAGGCCAGGGGAGCAAACGGG